rnacentral:misc_RNA from 1 species
AGCAAUUAUUAUGUACAGCAAUAGAACAAUCACGCACGUCAACAGGGCCCUGUCAAGUAAAUAUAGAAUUUGCACUCACUAAAAAUGUCAUUAAGCUAUUAAACUAACAAUUUUAAACCAUUUGAACUAUGCCAUUAUGAUUGCUUUGUGAAGGUUCAGGGUUCUGCAUUGUACCACCUAAAUUAACACACACCUAUUUACAAUAAUUCUUGUACUAGAAUUCAAUUCAAAUGAAUUUAUAGUAAAAUUCAUGUGCUUAAAAUAAAUUCUAAAAUGAUACAAUUCAUUUGAAUGCUAUUAUUUGGAAUAAUUGAAAAGCAAAAUAAAUGUCUUCACUUUCUUAUUUUACCCUUGUUUAUAAAGAGAGGUUUAAUUUAAAUAGGGGAGUGUUAAUUUAUAAUAAUAGACCCAAUUAAAUGAAUUGAAUUCUUGCAAA